AACGAACGCUGGCGGCAUGCCUAACACAUGCAAGUCGAACGAUUGCCUUCGGGUGAUAGUGGCGCACGGGUGCGUAACGCGUGGGAAUCUGCCCUUAGGUUCGGAAUAACAGCUGGAAACGGCUGCUAAUACCGGAUGAUAUCGCGAGAUCAAAGAUUUAUCGCCUGAGGAUGAGCCCGCGUUGGAUUAGGUAGUUGGUGGGGUAAAGGCCUACCAAGCCGACAAUCCAUAGCUGGUCUGAGAGGAUGAUCAGCCACACUGGGACUGAGACACGGCCCAGACUCCUACGGGAGGCAGCAGUGGGGAAUAUUGGACAAUGGGCGCAAGCCUGAUCCAGCAAUGCCGCGUGAGUGAUGAAGGCCCUAGGGUUGUAAAGCUCUUUUACCCGGGAAGAUAAUGACUGUACCGGGAGAAUAAACCCCGGCUAACUCCGU
rnacentral:rRNA from 1 species